rnacentral:lncRNA from 1 species
UAUUGCCGCAAAUGGAGUCAUUUGGGGUGAGGCUUUGGCCGGGGGUGGGGGGAGGGUUGUUAUGGGAGUGCAGCGUCGUUGCAGGGUGGUGGUGGAAGUGCAGCACCGUUCGGGGGAUCUAGGUUUGCAGUAUUUUGAUUUUUUUUCCCUUUUAUUUUUGUUAAUUUAAGUUUAUCUAUUAAUUAUUUAAUUCAAUGUUAUAAUGGUAAUUGAUGACUUAAUCUAAACUACCAAACAACUUAUUCACAAUAUCUAUAUUUUACUCCCUUUGUCUCGACUAUCUUGGAACAAAAUUUUUGGACACGAGAUUUAAGAAAUUAG